GGGGAUGUAGCUCAGUGCUAGAGCGCAUGCUUCGCUUGUAUGAUGUCCUGGCUUCCAUCCCCAGCUUCUCCA